CUCCGGUUGAUCCCGCCGGACCUGACUGCUAUCGGAUUGGUACUAAGCCAUGCGAGUCAUUGUAGCAAUACAAGGCGGACGGCUCAGUAACACGUAGUCAACCUAACUCGUGGACGUGGAUAACCUCGGGAAACUGAGAAUAAACCACGAUAGACCAUAGUGCCUGGAAUGGCUUAUGGUCCAAACAGUUUACUGCCAUGGGAUGGGACUGCGGCCUAUCAGCUUGUUGGUGAGGUAAUGGCCCACCAAACCUAUUACCGGUACGGGCUCUGAGAGGAGGAGCCCGGAGAUGGGCACUGAGACAAGGGCCCAGGCCCUAUGGGGCGCAGCAGGCGCGAAACCUCUGCAAUAGGCGAAAGCUUGACAGGGUUACUCUGAGUGAUUUCCGCUAAGGGAAUCUUUUGGCACCUCUAAAAAUGGUGCAGAAUAAGGGGUGGGCAAGUCUGGUGUCAGCCGCCGCGGUAAUACCAGCACCCCGAGUGGUCGGGACGAUUAUUGGGCCUAAAGCAUCCGUAGCCGGUCCUGCAAGUCUUCCGUUAAAUCCAGCUGCUCAACAGAUGGGCUGCGGGAGAUACUACAGGGCUAGGAGGCGGGAGAGGCAAGCGGUACUUUAUGGGUAGGGGUAAAAUCCGCUGAUCCAUAGAAGACCACCAGUGGCGAAGGCGGCUUGCCAGAACGCGCUCGACGGCGAGGGAUGAAAGCUGGGGGAGCAAACCGGAUUAGAUACCCGGGUAGUCCCAGCUGUAAACGAUGCAGACUCGGUGAUGGGUUGGCCUCGCGCCUGCCCAGUGCCGCAGGGAAGCCGUUAAGUCUGCCGCCUGGGGAGUACGGUCGCAAGACUGAAACUUAAAGGAAAUUGGCGGGGAGCA
rnacentral:rRNA from 1 species